UGGAGAGUUUGAUCCUGGCUCAGGACGAACGCUGGCGGCGUGCUUAACACAUGCAAGUCGAACGGAAAGGUCUCUUCGGAGAUACUCGAGUGGCGAACGGGUGAGUAACACGUGGGUAAUCUGCCCUGCACAUCGGGAUAAGCCUGGGAAACUGGGUCUAAUACCGGAUAUGACCUCGGGACGCAUGUCCUGAGGUGGAAAGCUUUUGCGGUGUGGGAUGGGCCCGCGGCCUAUCAGCUUGUUGGUGGGGUGAUGGCCUACCAAGGCGACGACGGGUAGCCGGCCUGAGAGGGUGUCCGGCCACACUGGGACUGAGAUACGGCCCAGACUCCUACGGGAGGCAGCAGUGGGGAAUAUUGCACAAUGGGCGCAAGCCUGAUGCAGCGACGCCGCGUGGGGGAUGACGGCCUUCGGGUUGUAAACCUCUUUCAGCAGGGACGAAGCGCAAGUGACGGUACCUGCAGAAGAAGCACCGGCCAACUACGUGCCAGCAGCCGCGGUA
rnacentral:rRNA from 1 species